rnacentral:tRNA from 1 species
GGCCUCGUAGCUCAUUUGGCUGGAGUGUUGGCUGUAGAAAAGCCUUCUUCUUGAUGGCGUGGGUUCGAAUCCCACCGAGGCCG